rnacentral:tRNA from 1 species
UAGCUCAGUUGGUAGAGUGUUUGCCUCUCAUGCACAAGGCCCUGGGUUCAAUCCCCAG